ensembl:snoRNA
AUUCAUCAAGAGAAAUCUAUCACAUACACUGCAUUUGAAAAUUGCGUGUGCAAUAUGAUUAUGUUGCUAGACUGGGACUU